AAGACCUUGCACUUUUGGAGCGGCCGAUGUCUGAUUAGCUAGUUGGUGGGGUAAAGGCCUACCAAGGCAUCGAUCAGUAGCUGGUCUGAGAGGACGACCAGCCACACUGGGACUGAGACACGGCCCAGACUCCUACGGGAGGCAGCAGUGGGGAAUUUUGGACAAUGGGGGCAACCCUGAUCUAGCCAUGCCGCGUGAGUGAAGAAGGCCUUCGGGUUGUAAAGCUCUUUCAGUCGGGAAGAAAAGGUUGCGACUAAUAAUCGUGAUCAAUGACGGUACCGAAAGAAGAAGCACCGGCUAACUACGUGCCAGCAGCCGCGGUAAUACGUAGGGUGCGAGCGUUAAUCGGAAUUACUGGGCGUAAAGGGUGCGCAGGCGGUUUUGUAAGUCAGAUGUGAAAUCCCCGGGCUUAACCUGGGAACU
rnacentral:rRNA from 1 species